AUUGAACGCUGGCGGCAUGCUUUACACAUGCAAGUCGAACGGUAACAGGGUGCUUGCACCGCUGACGAGUGGCGAACGGGUGAGUAAUGCGUCGGAACGUGCCGAGUAGUGGGGGAUAACGCAGCGAAAGUUGUGCUGAUACCGCAUACGUACUGAGGUAGAAAGUGGGGGACCUUCGGGCCUCACGCUAUUCGAGCGGCCGACGUCUGAUUAGCUAGUAGGUGAGGUAAAGGCUCACCUAGGCGACGAUCAGUAGCGGGUCUGAGAGGAUGAUCCGCCACACUGGGACUGGGACACGGCCCAGACUCCUACGGGAGGCAGCAGUGGGGAAUUUUGGACAAUGGGCGAAAGCCUGAUCCAGCCAUGCCGCGUGUCUGAAGAAGGCCUUCGGGUUGUAAAGCACUUUAGUUGGGGAGGAAACGGUUGUGGCUAAUAUCCAUGGCUAAUGACGGUACCUGAAGAAUAAGCACCGGCUAACUACGUGCCAGCCGCCGCCGUAAUAC
rnacentral:rRNA from 1 species